rnacentral:rRNA from 1 species
GAUGAACGCUGGCGGCGUGCCUAAUACAUGCAAGUCGAGCGAACAGACGAGGAGCUUGCUCCUCUGACGUUAGCGGCGGACGGGUGAGUAACACGUGGAUAACCUACCUAUAAGACUGGGAUAACUUCGGGAAACCGGAGCUAAUACCGGAUAAUAUAUUGAACCGCAUGGUUCAAUAGUGGAAGACGGUUUUGCUGUCACUUAUAGAUGGAUCCGCGCCGCAUUAGCUAGUUGGUAAGGUAACGGCUUACCAAGGCAACGAUGCGUAGCCGACCUGAGAGGGUGAUCGGCCACACUGGAACUGAGACACGGUCCAGACUCCUACGGGAGGCAGCAGUAGGGAAUCUUCCGCAAUGGGCGAAAGCCUGACGGAGCAACGCCGCGUGAGUGAUGAAGGUCUUCGGAUCGUAAAACUCUGUUAUUAGGGAAGAACAAAUGUGUAAGUAACUAUGCACGUCUUGACGGUACCUAAGCAGAAAGCCACGGCUAACUACGU